GGGAUGGUGGUUCAGUGGCAGAAUUCUUGCAUUCUAUGCGGGAGACCUGGGUUCAAUUCCUUGCCCUCUGU
rnacentral:tRNA from 1 species